rnacentral:rRNA from 1 species
AGUGAACGCUGGCGGUAGGCCUAACACAUGCAAGUCGAACGGCAGCACAGUAAGAGCUUGCUCUUACGGGUGGCGAGUGGCGGACGGGUGAGGAAUACAUCGGAAUCUACUUUUUCGUGGGGGAUAACGUAGGGAAACUUACGCUAAUACCGCAUACGACCUACGGGUGAAAGCAGGGGAUCUUCGGACCUUGCGCGAUUGAAUGAGCCGAUGUCGGAUUAGCUAGUUGGCGGGGUAAAGGCCCACCAAGGCGACGAUCCGUAGCCGGUCUGAGAGGAUGGUGAGCCACACUGGAACUGAGACACGGUCCAGACUCCUACGGGAGGCAGCAGUGGGGAAUAUUGGACAAUGGGGGGAAGCCUGAUCCAGCCGUACCGCGUGGGUGAAGAAGGCCUUCGGGUUGUAAAGCCCUUUUGUUGGGAAAGAACAGCAGCAGGUUAAUACCCCGCUGUUCUGACGGUACCGAAAGAAUAAGCACCGGCUAACUUCGUG